rnacentral:lncRNA from 1 species
UUAUAGUGUAUGACCUGAUAUGAUACUGUUAAAAACAUGAUAAGAGUCAGUGACUCAGCUGUAAAGGCCAAUAGCAAGUCAUAAAUAAAGAUAAUGUUUACAACUCUUAACUUGUCGUGUAAUACAAAACAGUUUGAUAAAAGGAAGAGGUAAAGGGAGAUUCAUAGACUAAAUACCAAUCGUAGAAAGAAAUAUGUUUGUCAGAUUGCCGGACAGAAUAACAUUUAUUGUUGUGGCGUUAGCUAUUCUUAAUGUGGUAGCAGUCGUGUCGGGACAGCUUUGCCAGAAAACUUUAACAAGCAGAGGAUUGGUAUGCCAAGACACGCCGCCUUUCAUUAAUGGAUAUGGUAGAUGCAUUAGAAGUUCAACCGCCGACUACAAGAAACUAUGCGGAUUCGUUGGUUCAAGCUGUCGAUGCAGAUCAACUCAAAUUCUAAGUAAAGCUCAAUCGAAUUCAACAUUCAUUGGCAUAGUAAAUGGUGGAUCGGACGGUAAUAGUACGAACGCCAAUUCAUUUAGAAAGCACAAUGAAUGAAAUUCGUGAAAUACAUUAAUUUGUUUUGUGACACCAAAAUCUUUCUAUUCGUCUUAUAAUUCAAUGUAGUUCUUAUUACUGUUGACAAUUUUCACUGUUACUGACCUGCUGGAACUAAACAGAAUUUGGUCAUCUUCAGACGAAAGACAAUCCCCAUAGGAAAGGAGAUCUACAGGAAGCUCUAUAUUGAAGUAAACAACUCACUUGAGUAUGUUCAUGAGUGGUCACGAAAAAUGCAGUCCCCUCUCGCUGCCAGUAACUACCACAAGCAAAACAUUGUUAAACUCAUUGAACAGGACUUUCAGAUCCAGAAGAAUAACCAGUUGAAAAUAAACUUUGAGGUGCCUUCUGACUCACCGAGUGAAUUCUUCAUCAAUUAUUAUUAAUAAGGAUGCUUCAUGUUGAAAACUGAAUGACUGAUGAAAUAUGGCUGCUCUCAUUUUUCACAUUUUAAACUGCUUUACUUAAAUUGUACUUUGAUUUAAUUUGCGAUAGAGCAAUGAUUUUAAAAAAUAAAGUAUCAAAAAUCCACUCAUUUUAAAAGUGUUUUUUUUUUCACUUAAUUGGAUGCAACUGAAAUAUAUUGUAUGUGCAGGAACAUCCUUAUCAGAUAUAACCUAGCUAUUAGAACAUUUUCUACUGACAGGAAUGAGAUAAUUCCAUAAUUUACAUGUUCGUGACAACAUCCGCAGCCUCACUAGUCACAAAAUUUAUAAAGAACGAGGAUCUAUGUUUUAGCGGACACGCAGAACAAAGUAAGAGAGAAAGAAGGAUAACGGAAGGAAUGGCAACGCUUAUAAAAAUAAUGUACAGAACGGUCAAGUAAUUAAAUUCUGAUGACAAUUUUUGCACCUGAACAUAAAAUGACAACGCAGUUUCUUACAUUCACCCUUCUUCUCGGGAUACAUUGCAUAGUGUCUGGUCAACUUUGUCGAAAGGUGGUCAUAAACGGACGCAUUGCCUGUAGAGAUACGCCUCCAUUUGACAAUGGACUUGGUCAAUGUGCUGGGAGUUCAACAUCGGAUGUCUAUAACAGAUGUGGGUUCGUCGGUAAAGGCUGCCGCUGUAGAUCAGCUAAUGUGCUACACUUCGCUCACUCAGAUUUGUCUAAUGAUUUAUUCGGUCGUUAAAGAUAAUUCAGCUAGAUUUUGUACCUGAUAUCUUUCGCUCUUAACACUUUAAAUUUAUGUUGUUUCCACAGUAAUGUUUUCCAGACUUGGUAUUGAUAGUUAUCAAGGGAAGCUGUAUUGCAAUUGUAAAUUUGUAGUUAAUUACACAGAUACAAUAUAUGUCAAUAUAUGUUUAAAAUGCUGUAUUGAACUGUGUUUUGUUGAUUAUUUUUUACUGAGUGGGAAUAAAUUACAGGAGUAAACAUUU